GCUAUUAUGCCAGAGCCAGCCCUGUUAUAACUCUCAUGAACAGAAGCGGUGUGCGUUAUAACGCGCGUGAAUAAUUUUCAGAAG
rnacentral:ncRNA from 1 species